rnacentral:piRNA from 4 species
UCCAGGGUUCAAGUCCCUGUUCGGGCGA